UGUUGCAAUUGUUGUUUGUGUAUUUAAGAUACUGCAGGGUGGUGGCGGGUGGCAGACACAGAAUACAGAACGUAUAUACGAGCAGUGUGGCCCAAUUUCGGCACACUAUUGUCAGAAUGAAAACAGAGUUGUGUUCUGAAAUGCAAAAAUAUUACAUUGUGAGAUUAUACAAAUACUGUUUAUACAAUGCAUAUUAUAGUAAAUCUGAGUUGAUUUAAGUAAUAUUACUGAAUUUUUAUUUUCCCGUACGUACAAAAUGAAAUUUUUUAUUACUCAUCUUCUUUGUCACCCGGUAGUUGAUACCCGGUGACGCUACUAACAGGGCGUAUUCACUUAAUGUGCUUAUAAUUUCUUCAAACAAACUACACACAUGAAUUUAAAUCAUCGUUACCAAUUCUGUUCCAAUCUAUUUACUUUAUUGGCUGAAAUGUAGCAAUUUUGUGGUACUUUGAGAAUGUCUACGAAGUUAUAAAUUUAUAAUCGUAUAUGUAUAUAUAUAUCACAUAUACAUAUAUAAUAUCAAUAUAUACUUUAGCAUUCGGUCAAGGAAGCAGUACUAUCUUAUAACCACUAGGAAAUAAAUUGUGCUAAAAAUGAUUAGGCAUUAUAGCCCUGACAGACGACAGCGCUAAUAUGCAAUAUCAUGCAUGUUAAUUCAAGUUUGUAAUGCACAAGAAUUUCGUGCAUUUAGCUGAAUUUACCAAAUUUGAGUAGGCAAGACUGCUCAAAAAUGGCCGAUUUUUGCUAUUUCUUGACAGAUGUCGCUAGAAGUCUGCUGCCUCCUUUACGUUUACAGCAUCAGAGAUGGCAGAAAAUUAACAACGCAAAGUUUGCUAUCCGUUUUUCCAAUAUUCUUAACUUUUUCGCACACUUUUUAUACCCUGAACAGGGUAUAUUAAGUUUGUCACGAAAUUUGUAACACCCAGAAGGAAGCGUCUGAGACCCUAUAAGGUAUAUAUGUACAUAUAUAAAUGAUCAGUAUGUUGAGCUGAGUCGAUUUAGUCAUGUCCGUCUGUCUGUCUGUCCGUCCGUCUGUCUGUCUCUAUAUAUACGAACUAGUCUCUUAGUUUUUAAGAUAUCGUUUUGAAAUUUUGUAAACGUUAUUUUUUCUUCCAGAAACUGCUCAUUUAUCGGAACUGCCGAUAUCGGACCACUGUAACUGAACGAUCGGAGUCAAGUUCUGAUGUUCCUAUAAGGAGUGUACCUUCCAACGCGGACGCAUCCGGAAAUGGCGUCGUAAUGACCGAUUUUAAAAUAUCUUAAGUUCAUCGAAAUAUAAUAAUAUGUGUUACAGCUGUUACCAGUGCCGGCUCCAAAAAUUCAAAAUCGGAAAAUGAUAGUUCGUAUAUAAAUUCAUAGAGUCCAUUGCUAUCAUAAACCAGAGCACGGGAAAUAAUUAAUUCAAAUUCAGAAGUAUUUAGGGAGUAAAAUCAGUAUUAAAAUAUGUUGAAAGGAAAAACACUCUCAGAAAGGAUUUCUGGAUCCUCUACUGGCUGUAACUUAGCUUAGUGCUCAAAUGCCACUGGAAGUGAUAAACUCCAGCAAAAAAAGCAAAGAAUCCACGCUGUUUUAAAAAGUUUCUGUGUUCCAUUGAGUACAAGUAAUCAAAUUCCGUCUGGAUGACGUCGGCUGUUAUUAAAGAAUGGCUUCAGAAAUCAUUCGUUCCGCAGGAGAGAAACUUGCCAAUUAAAGACCUAUUAAAGACCUAAUCGGCAACGCCCCUUUCAUCUAGAUGAAGCUGAACUGAUAUCGGGAAACCACCAAACGUUAAUCAUUCAUCCGAUGGAUCAGAAUGCAAUAAAAAUUACGAAGCUGCACUACAAAAACAGCCUUCUAGCUUCAGCAGCAUCUACGAAAUCUGAUUUGCUCAUUGACUGGAGAAGCUAACAUUAAAAGCUGCAAUAAAUCUUUAGGAAGGUGCUUAAAGUCGUGCCAUUGAAGAAACCCUAGCUAAUUGCUGGAAGAAUAUUUUAAAUUUUGCGGAAAACGAUGAUAAUCCUGAAGAUGGUAUGCCAUUGGCAGUUUUAAAAAUGGGAAGCUGAACUUCGCUCCUUCAUGAGCAACUCUAUGAAUCACCUUCACAGUUUAAAUACUGAGAAUGAAUGUACGUUAGCAACCCUUCGUGAAUGGAGCAAAGACAUUAAAGUAGAUAGUGCGGACGACGAUAUUGAAUCAGCGGACGAAUCAGACGAAACUGCGUCUCAAAGACACCGGAGAAAAUCAAACCAAAUGAAGCAACUGAAAGCUAUAAAGCGCUACAGUUGGCUAGUCAUGAAGGCGUCGAUCAAAACGAUGUGUAUUUCAAUUAUUAGAAUAACAGAAAUUGUAUUUCAACUACAAGGAAGCCCUUCACAAGGCAGCUAACAAGCGAACUCAGUUAGAUUGCCAUAUGACGGACCGGCUUGUAAUUUACUUGCAGUUUUUUAAGCACCUUGAACACUUCCUUUCAACUCCGACUUAAAAACACGAAUGAGUAUAAGCUGUUCCUUAUAUGAUUAAAAACUCUUUGCAGUGUUUGUUGUUCUAAAGGUCUAUGUACAGAGGAGGCGGCGAUUUAUCAGCAAAACCACGCCUGCGCACUUUGCCGAAGUCUGGCUGUGUGCGCAUUGGCUUAUCGGCUAAGUGCUAACCACAAGCGCAGAUGCUACGAAUUCCCUCGGCGAAUGCACACUUACAUGUGUAUGUAUGCGCGAGUAUAACUGUGCAUACCAAGAAGUAUGGAUGAUAAAAUGGAGCUAAACGCUUUAAAUCAAAACCUAUAGAAAUUAUUCCAAAUACGGUAUAUGUGUAUUUAUGUAUGUAAUUACAGAAACAAUAAAGAAUAUAUACUGAUAUCUUAAGGCUUAAGUCACAUGCAUUCACAUUCCGCACAUGUGUAUGUAUGUAUGUAUGCCCGCCAAAAAACCCUGUUACGCAUACGGCCUGGAGCUUAUCAAGAGUGCCCAACACAGAAUUUAAUAAAAUUAUACCUAAAAAGUUAUACCUAAAAAUAAAAUGUACAUAUAUACGAUACAUAAUGUGGACAUUUAUGCGAAUAAUCUUGCAUUUAAGAUUGUUAGUUAUAAUUGGGGAACUCACAACCCGUCGUAAAGCAUCGUAAAAUCGUAAAAUUAUAAAUUUUUACACUUGCUUAAAAAAAUUGUUGUUGUAUUUCAUACGAAAAUGAGUUUACACAUUUAUAAUUCUCAAUGCUAUGUUUUCGAAUCGUUAUAACUUAUAACUUUAUGAGACUUGUGAAAACCCUAAAUAUUCUUUUACACUCCAAGUUAAUAAAUUUUGAAAAGUUAAAAUACAUAUUUCUAGAACAUCGA